UGACAUGAUGAAAUUGUGUUGGAAUCUCGUUCGGCUGAAUUGUCGCUGUUGAGAAUCGGAAUCUGAGCAUC